UACGUAGGUGGCAAGCGUUGUCCGGAUUUAUUGGGCGUAAAGAGCGUGUAGGCGGCUUGACAGGUCUGCUGUGAAAACUCGAGGCUCAACCUCGAGAUGUCGGCGGAAACCGUCUGGCUAGAGUCCGGAAGAGGAGAGUGGAAUUCCUGGUGUAGCGGUGAAAUGCGCAGAUAUCAGGAAGAACACCUAUGGCGAAGGCGGCGACCUGGGUAGAUACUGACGCUGAGGUGCGAAAGCGUGGGGAGCAAACAGG
rnacentral:rRNA from 1 species